rnacentral:rRNA from 1 species
UUGUUCGCAAUGGGCGCAAGCCUGACGACGCAACGCCGCGUGGAGGAUGAAGGGCUUCGGCUCGUAAACUCCUUUCGACCGAGAUGAAUACCCUCCGGCCUAAUAUGCCGGAGGACUGACAGUAUCGAGGGAAGAAGCCCCGGCUAACUCCGUGCCAGCAGCCGCGGUAAUACGGGGGGGGCAAGCGUUGUUCGGAAUUACUGGGCGUAAAGGGUUCGUAGGUGGUCAGCUAAGUCAGACGUGAAAUCCCUCAGCUUAACUGGGGAACUGCGUCUGAUACUGGUUGACUUGAGUGCAGGAGAGGAACGCGGAAUUCCAGGUGUAGCGGUGAAAUGCGUAGAUAUCUGGAGGAACACCGGUGGCGAAGGCGGCGUUCUGGACUGCAACUGACACUGAGGAACGAAAGCCAGGGGAGCAAACG